CACACACACACACACACACACACACACACACACACACACACACACACACACACACACACACACACACACACACACACACACACACACACACACACAGACACACACAUACCACGCAUGCUGGGCGCAAGCGCGCCAAAUCCUUGUAACGAUCCUAAACCUGCAGCGGUAGUCAGUGUGGUACGAGGACCUCCAGUCGUGGAUUGAUCCAGGCGGUCCUCUAAAUGAAUCACCUAAGAGUCCUGCGGCUGUCUGAGUCCCAGUAUCGCCAGUAAGUGCAGCCCAGUGUAACGACCCUUCCUCCUCGGAUCCAUGACCCCAAAACCCCCACACUGGAAGAUCUACAGACACGUUUGGUGUGAAAGUCGGAUGAAGGUUUUCUCCCUUAGGUCAGGAACGGUCCUGCUGCAUUAAUGACUCACUGGAGCAGCGGGUCUCAUGAGAUCCCCAUCUGGAUUUUCAAUGGGAGUCAUUAGAGUUGACCGACCAUAAACUGGACGAUAGAGUAUCAGUUACAAGAAUAACUAUUCCCAGAAAAUCUACUUAGUUUUCAGUCUUU